UAACGCGUUAUUACCGAUGGGGUGACGCAUGGAGCAGAAUUUAGCCACUGAUGGAUGUGGCGGAUUGCGCGUAAGAUGUACAGGUGGCAAAUCCCCUGUACGCAUAUCUGAGACGCAGGACCUUUUGAGGGCUUCGGCCCAAAGAAGAGCAAUUCCGGUCUGUGCCAGGAAAAACCUCUAAGGGAGUUUUAUUUGUGCCCGUACCGUAAACCGACACAGGUAGACGAGGCGAAUAGCCUAAGGUGCUCGAGACAACUCGGGAGAAGGAACUCGGCAAAUUAACCCCGUAACUUCGGGAUAAGGGGAGCCUCCAUUUGUUAGUGUGAACAGCACAAAGCAUAAGGAGGCCGCAGAGAAAUGGCAGAAGCGACUGUUUACCAAAAACACAGGGCUAUGCAAACCCGUAAGGGAAAGUAUAUAGUCUGACACGUGCCCGGUGCUGGAAGGUUAACAGGAGAUGUCAGCGCAAGCGAAGCAUUGAAUCGAAGCCCCAGUAAACGGCGGCCGUAACUAUAACGGUCCUAAGGUAGCGAAAUUCCUUGUCGGGUAAGUUCCGACCUGCACGAAUCGUGUAACGACUUCUGCACUGUCUCCUCCCGGGACUCGGCGAAAUUGCAGUGUCGGUGAAGAUGCCGACAACCCGCACCUGGACGGAAAGACCCCAUGAACCUUCACUGUAUUUUGACAUUGGUUUUAGGCUUGACAUGUGUAGGAUAGGUGGGAGGCUUUGAAGCGGUGACGCCAGUCAUCGUGGAGCCAUCCUUGAAAUACCACCCUUGUCCGGUUUGAGAUCUAACCGUGGCCCGUCAUCCGGGUCCGGGACCGUGUCUGAUGGUCAGUUUGACUGGGGCGGUCGCCUCCUAAAUGGUAACGGAGGCAUCCAAUGGUUCCCUCAGCGCGGUCGGUAAUCGCGCGUAGAGCAUAAAGGCAUAAGGGAGCUUGACUGCGAGACAGACAUGUCGAGCAGGUACGAAAGUAGGGCUUAGUGAUCCCGCGGUACAGCGUGGAACGGCCGUUGCUCAAUGGAUAAAAGGUACUCUGGGGAUAACAGGCUGAUCUCCCCCAAGCGUUCAUAGCGACGGGGAGGUUUGGCACCUCGAUGUCGGCUCGUCGCAUCCUGGGGCUGGAGAAGGUCCCAAGGGUUUGGCUGUUCGCCAAUUAAAGCGGCACGCGAGCUGGGUUCAGAACGUCGUGAGACAGUUCGGUCCCUAUCCGGUGUGGGCGCACGAAAUUUGAGGGAACCUGUCCUUAGUACGAGAGGACCGGGACGGACGCACCUCUGGUGUACCGGCUGUCACGCCAGUGGCAUUGCCGGGUAGCUAUGUGCGGAUUGGAGAAACGCUGAAAGCAUCUAAGCGUGAAGCCAUUCCCAAGAUUAGAUUUCGCGGGGGCAACCCCCUAAAGGAUCGUUAGAGACCAUAACGUUGAUAGGUCACAGGUGUAAGCAUAGCGAUAUGUUGAGCCGAGUGAUACUAAUAGUCCGUGAGGCUUCU
rnacentral:rRNA from 1 species